rnacentral:rRNA from 1 species
GGUUAAGCGACUAAGCGUACACGGUGGAUGCCCUGGCAGUCAGAGGCGAUGAAGGACGUGCUAAUCUGCGAUAAGCGUCGGUGAGGUGAUAUGAACCGUUAUAACCGGCGAUUUCCGAAUGGGGAAACCCAGUGUGUUUCGACACACUAUCAUUAACUGAAUCCAUAGGUUAAUGAGGCGAACCGGGGGAACUGAAACAUCUAAGUACCCCGAGGAAAAGAAAUCAACCGAGAUUCCCCCAGUAGCGGCGAGCGAACGGGGAGGAGCCCAGAGCCUGAAUCAGUGUGUGUGUUAGUGGAAGCGUCUGGAAAGGCGCGCGAUACAGGGUGACAGCCCCGUACACAAAAAUGCACAUAUUGUGAGCUCGAUGAGUAGGGCGGGACACGUGGUAUCCUGUCUGAAUAUGGGGGGACCAUCCUCCAAGGCUAAAUACUCCUGACUGACCGAUAGUGAACCAGUACCGUGAGGGAAAGGCGAAAAGAACCCCGGCGAGGGGAGUGAAAAAGAACCUGAAACCGUGUACGUACAAGCAGUGGGAGCCUCUUAAUGGGGUGACUGCGUACCUUUUGUAUAAUGGGUCAGCGACUUAUAUUCUGUAGCAAGGUUAACCGAAUAGGGGAGCCGAAGGGAAACCGAGUCUUAACUGGGCGUUAAGUUGCAGGGUAUAGACCCGAAACCCGGUGAUCUAGCCAUGGGCAGGUUGAAGGUUGGGUAACACUAACUGGAGGACCGAACCGACUAAUGUUGAAAAAUUAGCGGAUGACUUGUGGCUGGGGGUGAAAGGCCAAUCAAACCGGGAGAUAGCUGGUUCUCCCCGAAAGCUAUUUAGGUAGCGCCUCGUGAAUUCAUCUCCGGGGGUAGAGCACUGUUUCGGCAAGGGGGUCAUCCCGACUUACCAACCCGAUGCAAACUGCGAAUACCGGAGAAUGUUAUCACGGGAGACACACGGCGGGUGCUAACGUCCGUCGUGAAGAGGGAAACAACCCAGACCGCCAGCUAAGGUCCCAAAGUCAUGGUUAAGUGGGAAACGAUGUGGGAAGGCCCAGACAGCCAGGAUGUUGGCUUAGAAGCAGCCAUCAUUUAAAGAAAGCGUAAUAGCUCACUGGUCGAGUCGGCCUGCGCGGAAGAUGUAACG